rnacentral:rRNA from 1 species
GACGAACGCUGGCGGCGUGCUUAACACAUGCAAGUCGAACGGAAAGGCCCUGCUUUUGUGGGGUGCUCGAGUGGCGAACGGGUGAGUAACACGUGAGUAACCUGCCCUUGACUUUGGGAUAACUUCAGGAAACUGGGGCUAAUACCGGAUAGGAGCUCCUGCUGCAUGGUGGGGGUUGGAAAGUUUCGGCGGUUGGGGAUGGACUCGCGGCUUAUGAGCUUGUUGGUGGGGGAGUGGCUUACCAAGGCUUUGACGGGUAGCCGGCCUGAGAGGGUGACCGGCCACAUUGGGACUGAGAUACGGCGCAGACUCCUACGGGAGGCAGCAGUGGGGAAUAUUGCACAAUGGGCGGAAGCCUGAUGCAGAAACGCCGCGGGCGGGAUGACGGCCUUCGGGUUGUAAACCGCUUUCGCCUGUGACGAAGCGUGAGUGACGGUAAUGGGUAAAGAAGCACCGGCUAACUACGUG